GAUGAACGCUGGCGGCGUGCUUAACACAUGCAAGUCGAACGGGAAUUAUUUUAUUGAAACUUCGGUCGAUUUAAUUUAAUUCUAGUGGCGGACGGGUGAGUAACGCGUGGGUAACCUGCCUUAUACAGGGGGAUAACAGUCAGAAAUGGCUGCUAAUACCGCAUAAGCGCACAGAGCUGCAUGGCUCAGUGUGAAAAACUCCGGUGGUAUAAGAUGGACCCGCGUUGGAUUAGCUUGUUGGCAGGGUAACGGCCUACCAAGGCGACGAUCCAUAGCCGGCCUGAGAGGGUGAACGGCCACAUUGGGACUGAGACACGGCCCAGACUCCUACGGGAGGCAGCAGUGGGGAAUAUUGCACAAUGGGGGAAACCCUGAUGCAGCGACGCCGCGUGAAGGAAGAAGUAUCUCGGUAUGUAAACUUCUAUCAGCAGGGAAGAUAGUGACGGUACCUGACGAAGAAGCCCCGGCUAACUACGUG
rnacentral:rRNA from 1 species